rnacentral:rRNA from 1 species
AACGAACGCUGGCGGCAGGCUUAACACAUGCAAGUCGAACGCCCCGCAAGGGGGGUGACAGACGGGUGAGUAACGCGUGGGAAUCUACCGUACCCUACGGAACAAGAGUGGGAAACGACGGCUAAUACCGUAUACGCUCUUAGGGGGGAAGAUUAUACGGGGUAGGAUGAGCCAGGGUUGGAUUAGCUAGUUGGUGGGGUAAAGGCCUACCAAGGCGACGAUCCAGAGUUGGUCUGAGAGGAUGCUCAGCCACAUUGGGACUGAGACACGGCCCAAACUCCGACGGGAGGCAGAAGUGGGGAAUAUUGGACAAUGGGGGCAAGCCUGAUCCAGCCAUGCCGCGUGAGUGAUGAAGGUCUUAGGAUUGUAAAGCUCUUUCCCCGAUGAAGAUAAUGACGGUAGUCGGAGAAGAAGCCCCGGCUAACUUCGUGCCAGCCGCCGCUGUAA